rnacentral:rRNA from 1 species
GACGAACGCUGGCGGCGUGCUUAACACAUGCAAGUCGGACGCUGAAGCUCAGCUUUUGUUGGGUGGAUGAGUGGCGAACGGGUGAGUAACACGUGAGUAACCUGCCCCCUUCUUUGGGAUAACGCCCGGAAACGGGUGCUAAUACUGGAUAUUCACUGGUCUUCGCAUGGGGGUUGGUGGAAAGGGUUUUUCUGGUGGGGGAUGGGCUCGCGGCCUAUCAGCUUGUUGGUGGGGUGAUGGCCUACCAAGGCUUUGACGGGUAGCCGGCCUGAGAGGGUGACCGGUCACAUUGGGACUGAGAUACGGCCCAGACUCCUACGGGAGGCAGCAGUGGGGAAUAUUGCACAAUGGGCGCAAGCCUGAUGCAGCGACGCCGCGUGAGGGAUGGAGGCCUUCGGGUUGUGAACCUCUUUCGCUCAUGGUCAAGCCGCAACAAUGGUUGUGGUGAGGGUAGUGGGUAAAGAAGCGCCGGCUAACUACGUG